AUACGUAGGGUGCGAGCGUUGUCCGGAAUUACUGGGCGUAAAGAGCUCGUAGGUGGUUUGUCGCGUCGUCUGUGAAAUUCCGGGGCUUAACUCCGGGCGUGCAGGCGAUACGGGCAUAACUUGAGUACUGUAGGGGAGACUGGAAUUCCUGGUGUAGUGGUGAAAUGCGCAGAUAUCAGGAGGAACACCGGUGGCGAAGGCGGGUCUCUGGGCAGUAACUGACGCUGAGGAGCGAAAGUAUGGGUAGCGAACAGGAUUAGAUACCCUGGUAGUCCAUGCCGUAAACGGUGGGCGCUAGGUGUAGGGGUCUUCCACGACUUCUGUGCCGUAGCUAACGCAUUAAGCGCCCCGCCUGGGGAGUACGGCCGCAAGGCUAAAACUCAAAGGAAUUGACGGGG
rnacentral:rRNA from 1 species